AACUGGUCCAAGUGUGGUGGUGUUUACAAAUGAUUGAUCCCAACCAGUUACAGAGAUCUUUGUUCCUUCUCCAUCCCCACUGCUUCGCUUAACUAACCUAAA
rnacentral:Y_RNA from 1 species